UCCUCCCAACAUGGCAGCCUCAGCAAAAAAAAAGAAGACUAAGAAGGGGAAGACCAUCUCCCUAACAGCCUUUCUAGCUGAGGAUGGUGGUACUGGUGGAGAAAGCACCUAUGUCCCCAAACCAGUCAGCUGGGCUGACGAAACAGACGAUCUGGAAGAUGUGUCAACAACCUGGCACAGUAACAAUGAUGAUGUGUACAGGGCACCUCCAAUUGACCAAUCCAUCUUUCCUACCACUCCAUGGGGCUGCUCAGUAACCCAAUAUCGACCGGAGCUGUCUUCCCAAAUUGCCACCCUACAGUGCUUUUCUAGGGAACCUGCCCUAUGAUGUGACAGAAGACUCUAUUAAGGAAUUCUUUAGAGGAUUAAAUAUCAGCACUGUAUGCUUACCACGUGAAAACAGCAAUCCAGACAGGUUGAAAGGCUUUGGCUAUGCGGAGUUUGAGGACCUGGAUUCUCUGCUCAGUGCUCUGAGUCUCAAUGAAGAGUCUCUUGGUAACAGUAGAAUUCCAAUGGACGUUGCUAAUCAAGCACAGGAUAAAGACUGGGAUGAUCAUUCUUUUGGUCAAGAUAGAUAUCGGGAUUCUGACAAAACAGACACAGACUGGAGGGCCCGUCCCGCCACCGACAGCUUUGAUGACUAGCCACCUAGAAGAGGUGAUGAUAGCUUUGGAGACAAGUAUCGAAAUCGUUACGAUUCAGACCAGUACCAGGACAGAUACCGGGAUGGGUACCGGGACGGCCCACACUGAGAUAUGUACCACUAUGGGGCUGGGAUCAAUAUGAUGACCGAGGCAGCAGAGACUAUGACCGAGGAUAUGACUCCCGGAUAGGCAGUGGCAGGAGGGCAUUUGGUAGUGGGUACCAUAGGGAUGAUGACUAUAGAGGAGGUGGGGACUGCUAUGAAGACCAGCAUGACAGAAGGGACGAUCAAUCAUGGAGCUCCAGGGAUGAUUACCCUAGGGACGAUUAUAGGCAUGAUGACAGAGGUCCCCCUCAAAGACCCAAACUGAAUCUAAAGCCUCGGAGUACUCCUAAGCAAGAUGAUUCCUCUGCUAGCACCUCCCAGUUCAUUCGAGUGGCUUCUAUCUUUGGAGGGGCAAAACCUGUGGACACAGCUGCUAGAGAAGGAGAAGUUGAGGAACGGCUACAGAAGGAUCGGGAGAAGUUGCAGUGGCAGCUGGAUGAGCCAAAACUAGACCGCCAGCCACAGGAGAGACACCCAAGUUGGCGAAGUGAAGAAACUCAGGAAAGAGAACAGUCGAGGACAGGAAGUGAGUCAUCGCAGGCUGGGGCCUCAGCCACAUCUGGCAGAAAUCCAUGAAGGAGAGAGAGUGAGAAGUCCCUGGAAAAUGAAACCCUCAAUAAAGAAGAAGACUGUCACUCUCCAACCUCCAAACCUCCUAAACCUGAUCACCCUCUAAAGGUAAUGUCAGCCCUUCCACCAAAGGAGAAUGCAUGGGGGAAGCAAGGCUCUAACCCUCCUGCUCGAUCUCAGAGCUCAGACACAGAGCAGCAGUCCCCUACAAGUGGUGGAGGGAAGGUGGCUCCAACUCAGCCCUCUGAGGAUGGACCAUCAAGGAAAGAUGAAGGUAAAAUAGAUGGGAUGAGUGUCCCAAAAGGCCUAACUGGGAACUCCAGUUGUGGUCCCGGAGAAGGAGGGAACAAAGACCGCUGGAAGGAGUUGGAUAGCAAAGAUGGCAAAAAAGAUCAAGACUCCAGAUCUGCACCUGAGCCAAAGAAAUCUGAGGAGAAUCCAGCCUCUAAGUUCAGUUCUGCAAGCAAGUAUGCUGCUCUCUCCGUAGAUGGUGAAGAUGAGAAUGAGGGAGACGACCACACUGCGUAGACCUCCACGUGCUGUGCUUUCUUCUAGUCUCCACCCUGGAACAUUCAAGAACAAAUCAAACCUCUUUCCAGACAAGAAAAAAUAAAACUUACCAUCUCCUGAAGACCUUUCUUAACUUUUUUU